AUGGGCUUCACAGAAGGUAACCAGGCAACUAAGCUGAGGGCUAAUUUGGAGAUGUUGAUCAAAGAUGACAAGCAACAGUGCUGGUGCCGGCAGGCACUGGAGCAGUUCAACCAGCUCAGCCAGGUCCUGCAUAGGCUCAGUCUGUUGGAGCGGGUUUGCGCUGAGGCCAUGACAACCACGCUGCAUCAGGUGAGCCGGGAGAGGAUGGAAGACCGCUGCCGAGGAGAGUAUGAGCGCUCUUUCUUGCGUGAGUUUCACAAGUGGAUAGAGAGAGUGGUUGGUUGGCUUGGCAAAGUGUUCCUUCAGGACAACCCCACCAGACCAACUUCUCCAGAAGCUGGGAACACACUGCGUCGUUGGCGGUGCCACGUACAGAGAUUCCUCUACCGUAUCUAUGCCAGCCUACGCAUUGAGGAGCUUUUCAGCAUCAUCCGAGACUUCCCAGACUCUCGGCCAGCCAUUGAGGAUCUUAAGUACUGCUUGGAGAGGACUGAUCAGAGGCAGCAUCUCCUUGUGUCCCUCAAGGUGGCCCUAGAGACUCAACUCCUCCACUCAGGUGUCAACACAUGUAACAUCAUCACUCUCUACAUUUCUGCCAUCAAGGCAUUACGUGUGCUAGAUCCCUCUAUGGUCAUCCUAGAGGUGGCUUGUGAGCCUAUCCGUCGCUACCUGAGGACACGAGAGGACACAGUACGGCAGAUUGUGGCUGGGCUAACCGGGGACUCAGAUGGAACUGGAGACUUGGCUGUUGAGCUAUCUAAGACUGACCCGGCCUGCCUGGAGACUGGUCAGGACAGUGAGGAUGAUUCUGGUGAGCCCGAGGACUGGGUCCCUGACCCCGUGGAUGCUGAUCCAGUCAAGUCGAGUUCCAAGCGACACUCUUCAGACAUCAUCAGCCUGCUGGUCAGCAUCUAUGGCAGCAAAGACCUCUUUAUCAAUGAGUACCACUCACUACUUGCGGAUCGCCUCCUCCACCAAUUCAGCUUCAGCCCUGAGAGGGAGAUUCGUAAUGUGGAGCUAUUGAAGCUGCGGUUUGGUGAAGCCCCCAUGCACUUCUGUGAGGUCCUUGCUGCAGAUGCUGCUUUACUGCAAGAACAGAGCUGGAAAAUAGUACAUGAACAAUGA